UACGGAGGAUGCAAGCGUUAUCCGGAAUGAUUGGGCGUAAAGCGUCCGCAGGUGGCUGUGUAAGUCUGCUGUCAAAGAGCGAAGCUCAACUUCGUAAAGGCAGUGGAAACUACACGGCUAGAGUGCGUUCGGGGCAGAGGGAAUUCCUGGUGUAGUGGUGAAAUGCGUAGAGAUCAGGAAGAACACCGGUGGCGAAGGCGCUCUGCUAGGCCGCAACUGACACUGAGGGACGAAAGCUAGGGGAGCGAAUGGG
rnacentral:rRNA from 1 species